rnacentral:lncRNA from 1 species
UUCUUUAACGCUUCCAUUGAAUUGUUCUCAAUUCAAACCUUCCUUGAACCCUUUGUUGGUUCCAAUUAAAUUGUUUCUUGCGAGUUUUUGUUCCCUAAGGUUAUCAUCGACUCCUUACUGUUUCCCGUUGUAUAGAAACAUCCAAAAGGUUCUUAUUUAAGAGCUCAUAAGGUGAAGCUAAGUGGUAAAAGGCAAGAGGGUGAGAUCAUCAUCAAGAAAAAGUCAUAAAAGAGUGUCCAC